ensembl:lncRNA
GGAUCAUCAGGUUAGGCCCAAACAUCAGCCAAGAGGAGUGACCGUUUCUCCUUGCCACAGAAGCAGAGAAUCUGAGAAAUGAAGCUCCAGACAGCAUCUGGAGAACCUCUAAAUGACAGACCGAGAGGAGCUGGGCCUGACAGCUGAGAUACAUAGUCUCAUCUCAGUGUUUCUCAUUGGUUAAUUCUUCAACAAUCUGUUCACUCUUCAUACACCGAGGCGCACUCUGAGAAACCUGGGACGCGUCCUAGAAGGAAAAGACAAAGCUCCUAUCUUUAUGGACAGGCGGAGGACAGACUAUCUGCGGACAGACAAUGAACACAGAUAAAGCUCACAAUGGCUAAUUGCUUCUUCGCUGUAAGGCAACAAGAGCAAUGGAAAGCUGGAGUGAGAAGAACUGCAAGUGUGCAGGACAUGGCUGUCAUUUCAGAGGCUAACCAGGGUGGGCCUCCUUGAGGAGGCACAAGAUGGAGUGAGCAGUAUCUCUGGAUCCAGUGAAAUCAUUUCACAGUGAUUCAUUCAGGCUAUUAGCCACUAGACGGCUAUCACUGAGCCUCAAGUGCUCUGCUGACUGCUCAUCUCGUCUGCCUCGCUUUGGUCCGAAGGAUGGGAAACUGUAUGCUCAUCAAGAACAUUCGACUCAGCUCACAGAGCAAUGUGAACGUCUCAUGUUCAUUUUAAUCACAUGCUUGAAUUUAUGAGGUGAGACCUGCACCAGAGUCCUUCCCCUAUGUCUACUCAGCCUGCCCCAGGGAGCUCUGGGGGCUUCCAUCUGCCUGUGCAUACAGAUGCCACCCAGACCUAAAAUCCCCCAGACCAUUGAGACUGCUGGCCUGGAACAAUAUAUAGUUAGGCCAUGCGCUUAUGCGACCGUGGGCGAGUUUCAAGUAUUAAAUCUGAAAAUUGGAAUGACACAGCCAACUCUUGGGAAGAGUUUGUGUGAUUAAUUAAUGCUUGUAGGGUCCUUACCAAACACCUGGUACACCACCGUCAACAUUCGCUAGAUCAACGGUUGUUGUCAACACUGUUAGCACAAACAGUUUUAAAAGUAGUGGAGGUCAGUGUGAGCUUAUUGUCUUUAGAGUUCCCACUCUGUCCACAGGCUCACGUGACAUUUCUCCAGAGUCACUCCAGUCCCUUAUGAUGAGCCAGGGUUACCGGAGCCACGUGCGCCAGGCGCAGGGCACAGCUCGCUUCACACAGUAGUUAUGCUUUCAGAAACUGAGGGGUGAAGCCUUUUUGUGCAUUUUCAUUAAGCCCAAGGGCAUGCAUCCUCUGGGCUUUACAGCAAGAAGGGACAGGAUGAGUACAGUCCUGUUCCUUAUCGCCCACCUCCAUCAGUCACCGAUGCCUGCACCAGGGUAUUCUGGGAUGUGCAGACUGAGCAGCUGGUAAUGUUGUUCAGUUUCCUGGAAAUACAGGCAGCAAUUUCCUGUGGCUUCCUCUGUUUUUGAUGUAGAGAUGAACACAUGUAAAGACUAAACACAUCAAGGGGUCGCUGGUUCCGUGAAUACUGAAAAAACACUGUAAUGUCUUCAUAAACAGAUCAAGAGCAGAGUCUAGGCUGUCUCCCAUGCAGCACGCCCCCUGAGAGUCCGCACAGUAAGACUGAGAGGUGACAGUAAGAACAGAGACAUAUCUAUGUCUACGGUCUGCUGCCUGAACUGAUGAACACUGCGUGAACUUGAUUACCAGGGCAAUCGAGAAAUACUUCCUGGAAGGGCAGAGCUUUGCACAAAAACAGCUUGGAAAAGCUCUUGUCUACUCACAGGACCUCAGGCAAGAUUUCUCCAGGAUUAGAGGCCGGGUCAGAGAAAAGGUCCCUCUUUUUGAAGUGGAAAGCAAUAAAACUGUCAAAUGAAUGAAGCUGGCCAUAUAAUAGUCUAACCGUUUAGGGAGAAAGAUAGCAAGGUACAGUUGAUCGCUCACUGAAGGUGUCAUGGUAGGUGCUGAGGAUAAGGAGCAAUGAGGGAAGCCAUCUUGGCCAACAAUCCUCUCUCCUGGUGCUGACAAAGCGGUCGAAGCACUGUGCACACUUACACGGAGCUCGUGUCUUUCCGUGGUAGACACUGAACGCCUAUGGAAGCUGGUCUGACUUCACCACUUACCAGCUAAGUGACCUUGGGCCCGUGGUCUCACCUUUCAAAACCCCGCUGCCUGCUGUGAUCUCUGCUUGCUCAUCACUGGCUUUCUUCCUAAGUGACAUGCCGCUCCUGUCCACCAAAGAGCACAGCCAUGGCUACAUCCAUGCCCAAUAACAAAUAUUAUAACAGAUUGUUAAAGUGAUCUGUGCUUAAGACAGCCUGCCCUUUCAAUGGGGGAAAGUUCUCCAUUAAUACAACUGCUGACAUAUAAAAGCUGCUGUGGUAAUUAAGCCAACACAAAGCAGAGGCUAGCAGCCUGCGAAGAAGGCUCAGUUCUUACUUCAUAAGCAUGAGCAUCUGAGUCUGAUUCCCCCAGGACCCACUCACACAAAAGGCAGGCUGGGGUGUGUAGCCGCCAUCCCAGUCCUGACAGGAUGGUUGCAGAGGGUCCAUUCCUGGCCAGCCAGACUGAGCAAAUCACCAAGUCAGAUCACCGAGUGGAAGAGGAUGGCUGUCACUUGAAGGGACUGGGGCUAAAUGUUAAAACUGGAGAUUAUGUGGCCAGGAGACUGGGCAAUGCUAUUCUCUCUUACCCAGGAGCAAUAGGGAUCUUAUUUUUAAGGCCUGGGAGGAUUUGAGAGUACAAAGAAGGGUUCCAAAGUUAACUAUUCAUUUCCUACUACGCAUUGUUAGGACCAAAUGUAUCUGACAGGCUCAGAGACAUCCUGGCUCUCUGUCGUCUCUGUAAUUCCCCGGCUGCUGGGCCCGGUAUAGUUUAUUUCCUUAGCAUCCCUCUAUUUCCAGCCACUUGAUAUAUCUCCUAGAGUGGCUCCUUGUGGAUUUAACCAAAUAAAUGCUGUGAGCUUGCUGUGACACGGCCACUCUCAGUGAGCGUGUUUUAUAUUGCAAGGCCAUCAAGCCUCAUCUAUUAGUUUUGUAGCUUGACAGAGCUUGAGAGAACAGAAAUGUUUUUCAGAACAGACCCUCCACCCCAAACCCCUGAAAUAUAUACCACGACCCCUUCUUGCCAAUGGUUACAUUGACAACUUUUCUGAAUGAAACCUGCUAGGAAACAUGAAGAUGUAUAAAUAAAUAAAUUAGUUGUCGUUUCUAUUCUGUGUUCUGGCCACAUACCCUCUGACAAGAAGGUUAGGUCCAGAGCAGAGCUCCACUGAGACAGAUUCAAAGCCCUGGAAAAGGUGUGUGUAGAGGCGGGGGAGGGGGUAGCGAUGAUAGAAAGGGGACAAAGUAGAACACACAAGGUCUUGCAGGGACAGCAAAUGAGUCUGAAUUUAAAAAGCCAUUGGUCACUCUAGAAUUCAACACAUCUCACACAGAGACAUCAGAAAAUGAACCCCAAGUUCACUGUUUUAAUGGUUUAAUACUUAACAGGCCUCAUCACUGUUUAAACUAAAUAAAAGCAAUAGAUCUGUCCCUUAAUCAAAUUUGUUUAUGCUAAGAACAUAAUAGUAUUCUUUAUAAAACCAUGCAAAUUUUUACAGGUCUUAAAUUCUUCCCAGGGAGGUGUAUCUCUCUGUGUCAAUUAUCCAUCUCUCCAUCCGUUGGAGGAACAAAAAUUCAAGGAACUCCUUAGAGCGUGCAAAGAAAAAAAUAUGGAAAGACACACGCCGGCCAGAUACAUUUCAGGAGUGGUUGCCAUAGAAACUAGUCAGUAGGUUUCAUUUUUAGAGUUGUGUCUUUUGAUAAAAUAUUAAGUUUUUUGGAGUAUUUUACUACACACACACACACACACACACACACACACACACACACACAAAUAGCACAACUGCGGAUGUCCAACUAAAUUGCUUUACAACUAUUUAAACGAGUUCUACUUUUAGGCUGCCAAUUAUCUGCAGAGAAAACAAUCCUUGCUAAUGAGCUGAUUGCCAAGGCUCACUCUUCCUCAAUCCCAAGUAUUUCAUGUUGAGUAGAAGCUGACGUGAGACUGGUGUAGGCAUGAAGAGGUCAGGUACUUGACAGGAACCUAAGAAAAUGAACCCUGGUCUCAAGAGGCUCCUGACAGCUUGCAGCCACUGGUGCUAACAUCUUCCAGACUAUCUGGACAACUGCUCGCUUGUUCUAAACACAAAAUUAGUUAGGUCUCAUUGUUCUGUGAUAAGGUGGCUCUGUCUCACAUGCAAGAAAUGAUGAUGGCAUAUUUCGUCUGGAGAAAAGGCAUUGUAACACUGCUAUGCCUGGAACUCAACUGGCUUCUCCUAUUCAUUUGUAUUUAAUAACUACUUGCUGUGGGUCUGAGUCCAAAAAGCACCCGCUUCAUUUCCUAUUUUAAAAAUUAAGAAAAAUUACACAUUCUAACGCAGAGUCAGAAUUGCAGACACUAAUUCGGAUGCUGAUUUUCAAGACAGGCAUCAGGCUAGUUACCACAAUACAUUUUUUUUUCUGAUCAAAACGCAUGUGUGGUGGUAGAUCAAUGCCAAAAUAAUCCUUGGAUUAUAAUCAAUAGACAAUCAGCACAUCUGAAGUGUGCCGGGAGAGACCUAACAACCACUUAACCUGGCCCAUGAAGUGUCUUUGAGGCAUAUACCUGGCAAUUUCUGAAAUGGGGGCUGGUGGAUUUAAUUUUCCAUCAGCUAGGAGCACCCUGGCUUCAGACCAAGAAGUCAGUCCCCUCCAAACAAUAAAACCAGCAACAAUCCUGACUUCCUAGACACACGAAGUAAAUCACAUUAGCAGCUGAGGAGAGGUGGUGAACUUUCUGUUGAAGGGCAACUAGCAAAGAAAACAAGGAAGGAUCAACUGAAAAUGUCAGGGCAGAGCCUCGGCCAGGUGCAGGCUCUAGGAUGACUGACAGGUCUCCGAAAAGAAUCCAAGGAACAUGGCCACCACUCUGAAGCAAUGUAGAGCUCUUUUUCCCCCUUACAUGUUUGUGUAUAAAUAUUUUAGCAAUUCUGGCAAAGUGCACGUGUCUAUCUAUGGUUAGAUAUGACUAAGAAAUUUUAUCGAUAUGACUAAGAGAUGAUGAUUAUCUCUGGAAGGAUCAAAGGUCGUGUUUGUUUUGAUAUUUUCCCUGGGCUCAGCACUGGCAUUCAUGAUCUCUUAUAGAAAG